UUUAACUGAAGAGUUUGAUCAUGGCUCAGAUUGAACGCUGGCGGCAGGCUUAACACAUGCAAGUCGAGCGGGGGAAGGUAGCUUGCUACCGGACCUAGCGGCGGACGGGUGAGUAAUGCUUAGGAAUCUGCCUAUUAGUGGGGG
rnacentral:rRNA from 2 species